UGAGGAAUAUUGGACAAUGGGUGAGAGCCUGAUCCAGCCAUCCCGCGUGAAGGACGACGGCCCUCUGGGUUGUAAACUUCUUUUGUAUAGGGAUAAACCUUUCCACGUGUGGAAAGCUGAAGGUACUAUACGAAUAAGCACCGGCUAACUCCGUGCCAGCAGCCGCGGUAAUACGGAGGGUGCAAGCGUUAUCCGGAUUUAUUGGGUUUAAAGGGUCCGUAGGCGGAUCUGUAAGUCAGUGGUGAAAUCUCAUAGCUUAACUAUGAAACUGCCAUUGAUACUGCAGGUCUUGAGUAAAGUAGAAGUGGCUGGAAUAAGUAGUGUAGCGGUGAAAUGCAUAGAUAUUACUUAGAACACCAAUUGCGAAGGCAGGUCACUAUGUUUUAACUGACGCUGAUGGACGAAAGCGUGGGGAGCGAACAGG
rnacentral:rRNA from 1 species